UACGUAGGAGGCAAGCGUUGUCCGGAAUUACUGGGCGUAAAGCGCGUGUAGGUGGUGGGACAAGUCUGCUGUGAAAGCGCCUGGCUUAACCGGGCGAGGUCGGCGGAAACUGUCCGACUCGAGGACGGUAGAGGGGGGGUGGAAUUCCCGGGUGUAGUGGUGAAAUGCGUAGAGAUCGGGAGGAACGACCUGUGGCGAAGGCGGACCCCCUGGGCCCGGCCCGCUGACACUGAGACGCGAAGGCGUGGGGAGCGAACGGG
rnacentral:rRNA from 1 species